GCCAGGUGUGGUGAACCACACCUUUAGUCCCAGGUACUGGGGAGGCUGAGGCAGGAGAAUCACUUGAACCCAGGAUUUUGAGAUCAGUCUGAGCAAUAUAAUGAGAACCUGUUUCAA
rnacentral:sRNA from 1 species